CCUACGGGGAGCAGCAGUGAGGAAUAUUGGUCAAUGGACGAGAGUCUGAACCAGCCAAGUAGCGUGAAGGAUGACUGCCCUAUGGGUUGUAAACUUCUUUUAUAUGGGAAUAAAAUGUUCCACGCGUCGGGUUUUGUAUGUACCAUAUGAAUAAGGAUCGGCUAACUCCGUGCCAGCAGCCGCGGUAAUACGGAGGAUCCGAGCGUUCUCCGGAUUUAUUGGGUUUAAAGGGGGCGUAGGGGGAUUGUUAAGUCAGCGGUGAAAGUUUGCGGCUCAACCGUAGAAUUGCCGUUGAAACUGGGAGGCUUGAGUAUGUUUGAGGUGGGCGGAAUGCGUGGUGUAGCGGUGAAAUGCUUAGAUAUCACGAAGAACUCCGAUUGCGAAGGCAGCUCGC
rnacentral:rRNA from 1 species